rnacentral:rRNA from 1 species
AGAGUUUGAUUAUGGCUCAGGAUGAACGCUGGCGGCGUGCUUAACACAUGCAAGUCGAACGGAGCUUAGAAGGAAGCUUGCUUUCAUUUAAGCUUAGUGGCGGACGGGUGAGUAACGCGUGAGUAACCUGCCCUUGAGAGGGGAAUAACAUCGAGAAAUCGGUGCUAAUACCGCAUAAUGUCGGAGUACCGCAUGACAUUCCGACCAAAGAUUUUAUCGCUCAAGGAUGGACUCGCGUCCGAUUAGCUGGUUGGUGAGGUAACGGCCCACCAAGGCUUCGAUCGGUAGCCGAACUGAGAGGUUGAUCGGCCACAUUGGGACUGAGACACGGCCCAGACUCCUACGGGAGGCAGCAGUGGGGAAUAUUGGGCAAUGGGCGCAAGCCUGAACCCCCAGCAACGCCGCGUGAAGGAUGAAGGUCUUCGGAUUGUAAACUUCAUUGAUUGGGGAAGAAUAAAUGACCUACCCAAAGAACAAGCCACGGCUAACUACGUGCCAGCAGCGGC